rnacentral:rRNA from 1 species
GACGAACGCUGGCGGCGUGCUUAACACAUGCAAGUCGAACGGAAGGGCCCUGCUUUUGUGGGGUGCUCGAGUGGCGAACGGGUGAGUAACACGUGAGUAACCUGCCUUGACUUUGGGAUAACUUCAGGAAACUGGGGCUAAUACCGGAUAGGAGCUCCUGCUGCAUGGUGGGGGUUGGAAAGUUUCGGCGGUUGGGGAUGGACUCGCGGCUUAUCAGCUUGUUGGUGGGGUAGUGGCUUACCAAGGCUUUGACGGGUAGCCGGCCUGAGAGGGUGACCGGCCACAUUGGGACUGAGAUACGGCCCAGACUCCUACGGGAGGCAGCAGUGGGGAAUAUUGCACAAUGGGCGGAAGCCUGAUGCAGCAACGCCGCGUGCGGGAUGACGGCCUUCGGGUUGUAAACCGCUUUCGCCUGUGACGAAGCGUGAGUGACGGUAAUGGGUAAAGAAGCACCGGCUAACUACGUG